rnacentral:rRNA from 1 species
UACGAAGGGGGCUAGCGUUGCUCGGAAUCACUGGGCGUAAAGGGUGCGUAGGCGGGUCUUUAAGUCAGGGGUGAAAUCCUGGAGCUCAACUCCAGAACUGCCUUUGAUACUGAGGAUCUUGAGUUCGGGAGAGGUGAGUGGAACUGCGAGUGUAGAGGUGAAAUUCGUAGAUAUUCGCAAGAACACCUGUGGCGAGGGCGGCUCACUGGCCCGAUACUGACGCUGAGGCACGAAAGCGUGGGGAGCAAACAGG